GACAACUGAAGCUGGUCUGCUGAAGAUAAGGCUGCAGUCAGGAACUGGCUCCAGGCCCUGAGACAAGAAGAUUGAACUCUCUGAGACUCCCUUUCAGGACUACCACUUGCCAAUGCGGUACUUUGGUGCAAUUUGAAAGAGGUGCCCCAUCUAGGCACAUGCCUUGGAUGAAGAGCCCAAUGGAAGAAUUUCUCUGUAAACCAAUGCUGCUGGGAAGGAGAUUUCCAUCCCCGGGGAAACCUAAGUAAGGUCCACCAUGAGCGAGAGCUGGGCUCCGAGACUGCCUUAGGAGAGGGGGCCUGGUCAAUCGCUAUCCCUUUCAGGAUUCCCUAAAACCCUCUCACCCCAGGAGGAUUUAUACACCAGGGAAGGUCAGAUGUGAGGCGAAAUGGUCUCUGUGUUUUAGAAGCAGAUGGUUAGGUUUCCACUCAAGAAUUCUCGUGCUUAUGAAAAAAGAAUACUGAUAUGGUUUGGCUCUGUGUCCCCACCCAUAUCUCACCUUGAAUUGUAAUCAAAGGCAGGACCAGGUGGAGGUAAUUGAAUCAUGGGGGUGGUUUCCCUCAUGCUGUUCUCGUGAUAAUGAGUGAGUUCUCAUGAGAACUGAUGGCUUUAUAAGCAUCUGGCAUUCCCCCUACUGGCACUCAUUCUCUCUCCUGCUGCCCUGUGAAGAGGUGCCUUCCACCAUGAUUGUAAGUUUCCUGAGGCCUCCCCAGUCAUGCAGAACUGUGAGUCAAUUAAACCUCCUUUCUUUAUAAAUUACCCAGUCUCGAGCAUUUCUUUAUAGCAGCAUGAGAACAGACUAAUACAAAUAUCAUGAAUGGUAGCCCCUGACACACACACAUAUGUACUCCAUUACUCCACAAACCCAUACCCAUACUCGUGUACACACACUCAUGAACACAAACACACAUCCAUACCACACACUCACAGUGCACACCAAUACAGUGACACCAUGCACGAACUUCACACAUGCUCACAUCACAGCUCACACGGAUACUCCAUACACACAUUCAUGUCCCACACAGUCAUGGACAGGCAGGCCCACCACACUCAUCUCCCCUCAUACCCCCACCUGCACACAACUGUGAGAAGAAAAGAGCCAUCAGGAGCUGUCUCUCUCUGGCUGGUAGUGAAAAAAGAUUAGGGCUGCCCAAGAUUAAAC
rnacentral:lncRNA from 1 species